rnacentral:rRNA from 1 species
UACGUAGGGGGCUAGCGUUGUCCGGAAUCAUUGGGCGUAAAGAGCGUGUAGGCGGCCCGGUAAGUCCGCUGUAAAAGUCAAAGGCUCAACCUUUGAAUGUCAGUGGAUACUGUCGGGCUAGAGUCCGGAAGAGGCGAGUGGAACUCCUGGUGUAGCGGUGGAAUGCGCAGAUAUCAGGAAGAACACCAACGGCGAAGGCAGCUCGCUAGGACGGUACUGACGCUGAGACGCGAAAAGCGUGGGGGAGCGAACAGG